AUUAUAGCAUACUUAGUACGAGCAACAAGGCCAGCCCAGGCUACAGAAAGAGCUUGCCAUGCUGUUAUAGUUCUCAGUCAUGAGAAAGUAAGUGUUGGAAUAGUCUACAACCAAUGAAAGGAGAAAAUGUUUGAGCAGUGGAAGGUGUUUACCGCAAAAUUUAUAAGAAAAAGUAGUUUGUUUGUAUGAUAUCAUGGCUGUUCACAACAAACAGAAUUUGAUUUUGAAUGAGAAAACAUCGUCAUUGUAGAAGCUUGACUGCCAAAAGGGACUAGCAGAGGAUGGUUUCGAUCCAUCGACCUCUGGGUUAUGGGCCCAGCACGCUUCCGCUGCGCCACUCUGCUUCGACGUUGCGGUACCAUCCAUGAGAGGUCAAAGCUCCAAGUUGGCUUCAUGCCAUGAUUUGUGCUUAUGAUGCCCCCAUUCAGCUCCAGCAGCCGCCCUGGCUCCCCCGCCUGUCCUGGGCCUACUAGAGGAGCCUGCAGUCUGUUGGAUGCGCCCAGGAGAUCCCAUCUCACAAUGCUGUUUCCCGUCACACAUGCGAUCCCUGCAUCCUUUUCCAGAGCCACACGCCCCGGGGCUCUUCUUCCCAGCAUGCCUGUCUGCUCUGGGGGAAACCUCGGACGUGGUUUCCCGACUACUGCUCCUUUUGUGUUCAGAGAGCCGCCUGAGAGCUUGAGGCUCACACUCAAAGUCUGUGAGUAGGAACCGAGGGAGGAUGACUGUGUGCUGGUCAUACACAUUGGGUACAAGUGAGAUGCUGGAUGCGCGCCGCGGGCUCUUUCUGGGGCUCGGCAGCGGAGUCUCAUCUAUAAAGUUGAUCACCUCAUCGCGGCUAAAACACCGCAGAUCGUCCUCAUAAUGCUCCCCACCAGCACAAACCACACGGGGAAGGUGUUUGAGGGAGUGCAUGCUGUCCUCAGAGCGUCGCCGCUUUCGAUGCGGGUGAUGGUGAUGGUGGCUCUCCUCGUGGUAGGAGACCAGGCUGCUCCUGCGCCUCUCGCGGCGCGGUAAGGUGGAGCUGUAGUGGGCAGUCACUAUCAUGUCCUCUGUGGAGCCCCAUCGAUGAAGGUAGGAGGGGAUCCGGUCGUUGGUCCACAUGUCGGUUUCGUCGUGGGAGUAUCUUCUUGUAGGGGGCACCUGGACGCAACACACAAACAAAAGCGUUCAGUUUGACAUCAUUUCACCUACAGCACAGACAAUACGCAUUGUGGCACUGCUCAAUUUAUAAGUUGCGUGUUAUACAACGUUAAAAAGGUAUUAUCCAUAAAACUAAAUAAAACAUAAAAAAAUAUAUUACAUGUAGGAUUUCAAGGUUAUGAAUGACCCUGCAAUAAAGUAAUAACACUAA